rnacentral:lncRNA from 12 species
AUACUGUCUAAAAAUAAGCAGAGAGACCUAAAUAAAUAUUUUUUAAGGAAAAAAAAAGGGAAGUUUCAGGGAAGGGAAGUUUCAGGGAAGGGAAGUUUCAGGGAAGGGAAGUUUCAGGGAAGGGAAGUUUCAGGGAAGGGAAGUUUCAGGGAAGGGAAGGGAAGGGAAGGGAAGGGAAGGGAAGGGAAGGGAAGGGAAGGGAAGGGAAGGGAAGGGAAGGGAAUAAUACUUAGGUCUGAAAUGAAGCAUGACACCAAAGAAAGGAAAAUGUAUGAUUAAAUCGUUCUGUUUUACUAACAGUUUGCAAAACAAGGCUUUCACACAGUCCAGUAGAUUCUGCAAAAUCAAAUUUCCUGCCUUUGUGUAAUAAAUUGCAGCCUAUCCCUGAGACCAGACUUCUGACUUCUGUCAUUCCUUAUCUACUAAGAACAAUGGUUAUCUAUGGGGCUUGACAAACUGUCUAGAGACUCACAUCAUCCAGCGAUCCCACGGACCAGCACUGCUCACCUGGCAGGAUUAUGACAACAAAAAAAAACAACAAUUACUGAUGACUACAAGGAAACCAUGCUGUAAAAGGGAGCUGCAAACCAAAGUUCGGUGGAGCGUGGAGUGGGCAGUGGCCCCCCCAUGCAUUCCCAG